CAAAACUUUAAGAUAACCCAUGAUACCCUUCUGUUUUAAUUGCUAGAUUUUUAUUAAUUACUAACGUAGAAAAUACAGAAGUCUUUUGGUUUCUUGAUCACACUUUGUUUUCAAAAUACACUAGUGUAGUUACAAUUUACCUUCACAUUCACAAAAGUGAAUUUAAAAAAAUACCAUUUUAGCAAAAUUUAUUAAAGGCAUUGAACCUAGAAACAUGUAAUAAACUAAUUUUGAAGUUUAUGUAAAUAAACUGUAAACCCAUGAAACAUCUACUGAUAUACCGAAAGUUGACAGGACAGAACACUGGGACAACUAAUGUCCAAAAUAUUGGACACAGGAGCCUGCCAUUUUAUAUACUGAUGCCCGUCCCCGAUGAAAUACUUAAAAACAUAUGUAAACAACUCAAGAUACACACACCUGACCACAUGCUCCACAAACAAAAGUUUCCCUUGAUGGUUUUUUCUCCUUAAACACCUGGUUCUGCAUACACAAAUCAGAGAUAAUUUCAGGAAGCAGAGUAAAAUUUGAAAAUAUUAUUCUGAUCUCCCUGAAAGAAUGCAGAUACAAAACUCAGACAAAAACAUAGAGUUCAACAAACUUUUAGCAUAUCUGCAAAACACAAUAAUGUAUUGCAAUUUGAACAAGUGUCAAGAAGACUAUUUCCAUGUAUUUACUUCAAUUCUAGCAAUUACUGAUAAAUGUAGUAAAUAGUUGCAGACAGAGCAGUCCUAAUUUCUCAAUAAUGUGAUGGAAAGAAAUGCAAUUACUACGAUGUACACUUUGGCCUAACCUCCUUUUAUGAGUUGGCAUAUGGUUGAUCCAAGGUUAUUAAAAUCAAAAGAAGAAAAUAAUUAUGACACAAAAAUCUAAAUGAAAAAUACAUGCAGCAGUUACAAACUCAAAUUGAAGUUAAAAUUCAAAAUACGAGAUGAAAAGACUUUUAUAGCAAAAGACUAAGCAAAAAAACCUAUAUAUAAAGCAGUCAAAACUUUGAUACAGCCAUGAAUAUACCUGUUGCUUUUUACAUAAACUCAACCACUUAAAAUGGAUUAUCUAUAAGUAAAAAAGAGAGUGAUGAAACAGACUAAAGUUGAUCACUUACCUUAAUUCCUUCUCCCAUAUUCAAUUUGAUUUUUUUAUUGGGAAGAGAAACAGGUGUAAUAUCAUUCUUCUUUGCUUUAUUGGCCUUCAGUGAUUUACUUUUUUUAGCACCAAAGUUUUCCUCCUGCCAAAAUCAUGAAAUAAAAUAAUUAGGCCUCAUUUAUAAAUAAAUAAGUCUUUACAUAUUUAUGAUCAGAUCUUCAUAUAAAUUGUGAAAUAAAUGUUUAAACAAUGCAACUGACAGGAGAAUGUAAAUAAAUGAUCUUACCUCCCUAAGAUCUGUAAUCACAUCCUCUUUCAAGGGAUUAUUUCCAUCUAAUUGUGAAGUAUUUGUUAAUGGCUUAACCAGUUCAGAACUGUCAAAGGCAAAUUUCGAUUGCAUCUUUGAUACCAAUCUUGUUUCUUCCCCCGUUACUUUAGUUUUCUUCUUUUUCUUCCUAUCAGCUUCAUCAUCUGCACAAAUUAUCAUCCAAAAAAAAGGGGUCAAAUAUGACAAGUAGCAUCUGAGUUCAAUUUGAAAAUGUUAAUCCAAUUGCAUUAGAACAGCCCUAAAAACAUCAGCUUUGGUACAUUCAGUACUAAAAAAUAUCUUGUAAUAAUACUUCAAUGAUCAACAGGAUAUCAUACCAUCCAUAAGCAACCUGCACAAUUCAGCAGCCUCAGCUGCUUCAUCUUCUAUUUCCUCCUCUGCCUGAGCCAAAGUUGGGCGUCUUCUCAUUUUAAGACCCUUAACACCGUCUCCCUUGUCACGUUUUAAGUCAUUUGUACCCUCUUCUCCCUCUUCAAACUCCUCAGCAUCAAGUAAAUUUUCCAGAUCUCCAGCAAAAGAAUCCAGAUCACUAUUCCCUUCCGAAUCACUCUCGUUCUCAUCAGCAUUUACAGCUGACAGACUCUGAACUUGUCGAUCCCAAAUCUCCUGGCAUUUCUCUCUAGUCUGCUGCUGUAACUGAAGAAAGGACAUUCGCUGGCCACGAGCAUAUUUGCUAAUAGUUGUCGGAUCAACCUUAACCCCAGAUGCAGCUUGCUCACUUGAAAGUUUACGUAUCAUAGCAAUGCGAUGCCACCUGGUUUGUUUUGCAAUGACUUCCUCAGGAACAUUGAACUUAAGAAGAACCUGGAUCAGAACAUAACUGAGAUUAAAAACAGGAAUGGUACAUAUUAAACAUACAAUGCUGUUCCAUCAUUAUAAUUGCAGUCAGAAGUCAAGUAGACACUAAUAAGGCAAAACCAGCCAAAUGGAGUAGUGGAAAAUUAAUUUGCUGCUUAAGCAACUAUGGAUAUGUUGGAAUUUUAUUAGUGUCACAUGAUAUUGUACAACAAAUUAAACACUCUCAUUCCAAUUGCUAAACCACAGGUUUCUUGGGGAAAAACAAGUUGGAGCAAAGCCAUUCUUCCUUCUAAACAUUCAUCCUAUGGAGAUUGCUACAUAAUCAACUGCCUACGGAUUAGCUACUUGAAAUGAGAUAUCAUAUUGUCCUCGUUAUAAUGAUUUUGAAAAUGCAAAUCAUCAUUUUUUAGCUUGUCUUUUUCCAGUUAUAUUAUGGACUUUCAAAGCAUCAUGGAUCAGCAGCUGCGCACUUCAACAAUUAAGACACUUACACGUCCCAAUAGGAAUUGAAGUAAUUUGCUAGCAGCAGUGAUGUUAUCUGCUGUUACUCGUCACUUUUGUUUUUCCUUUUUCUUUUAAUUGUAUUAAGUAAGAAUGCUGCAUAUGAUUGGUAUAGGUAGUAGUGCUAACCUGGUUGGUUAGCAUUACAACUUGUAUAGUGAUGCAAAUAACAUUCUUUCUUUUGAUUAAAAAAAGCUACAUAUAGAGAGAAAACAAAACAAACUACUGUUUGGAAUAAAAUCUGGAGAAAUCUGAACAAUCCUUAACAUUUGGGUUUAAUCCUAGUUAAACACCAACAAGCUUGGGAAUGAGUGUUAUACUUCACUUAUAUACUUUAAUUUAAUUACACUCUAGAUAAAUGAGGGAUCUCUAAAAAGUCAAGCAUGAAAUUAGCAAGACCAGACAUCUAUGGAUGGUCUGAUAAUAGCUGGAUAGUGAGUAACCAAAUAAGCCUAGCAACAAUCACUAAGGUAGACUCUGUUAGCAUCUGAAAAUUUGUAUUUAGGUCAUUAACAUUACAAAACUGGUUUAUAAGGUUAGAGCUACCCUCCACUUAUAUACCUUAAUCUGGAAAUAUUUUUAAUGAAUGUGGGAACUCCAACAGAGAUCAAAACAUUUUGCUGCACUAAUUUUCACUUCUGAGGUGCAGUUUGUCUCAGUUCAAUACAAAAACAAACGUAUCCAUUAAUAUCAGCUCUAUUCAUAACACAAUUGAGUAAAACAUGAGAGAAAAAAAUUGCUGCAAUAAUUUUCAUAUUUGAAGUGGAGCUUGAAAAUCACUUUAUUACAAUUGAGUACAAUAUGUCAGAAAAAUUUCACCUACCAGAAAGAAAAUUCUUUUUAAUAUCAAGCUCUAUAGCUUACAUAAGCAUAUAAAGUUCAGAACAGAUCACCAAAAUACCACACACCUCUCGUGCAGCCUCCAUGCUUAAUCUACGGAGAUCAGCAUCUGUACCAGUAACAGUAGAACCUCCACGGUUAGCAGCUGCUUUCUUCUUCACCAUUGCACUAGACACUGGUGCCUUUGGAGGUGCCCGAGCAUAGCUGAAACCCAUGCCACGACCAGAUGGAUCACCAACACCAGUAAUUUCCAUACGUUCAAUAUUUUCCUUACCCUGCGAAUACAAGCAAAUUAUGACUACCACAAAUGUAAAUGGAAGCAUAAAUUCCAUUGAUGCAUGUCUCUAAACUCAAGUAUAACAUCCAUUUCAACUUGUAUUCAAAUUUUGUUGGAAUUAUAUGACACGCAACAAAUGGAAGAAUUGCAGCCAUUCUAGGCAACUUAAGGAUGCAAGGACAAGUCUCUUUGCGCAAUUGUCAAGAAGCAAAAGACAAUCUUAUCAACAUAACAGUUCACAGCUUAAGAGGUCAUAUUUAUAACAUACUACAGCGAACUUAUAAGGGAUGGGGAAAUAAAGUGGAUAAGUAAAAUGUUUAUCCUUUUGCAAAACAUAACUGUAUUCUUUUAUUCCUUUAGUUAGCACUCCCAUGUAUUUUACUUGAUUUUUUGAAUCAAUUAAGUUCAUUUACUUCAAAAAUUAAGAAAAAUUGAUCCUGCCUUCAAUUUUCAUCUACUACAAACCCUAAAAUAGUAAUUUCCAAUCCAAAUAACAAAAAUCUUAACAUGCCAACAUUAAGCUCAGUUAAAGACCAAUCUUAGAUUACUUUUUAAUCAAACAUUUGACAACUUGUAAUAUAAUUAGUAUUUGAAAUAAUUUCAAGUGUUUAGAAGUCAUAAAUUUAGUGAAAUUUUGAUCAAAUUUGAAGAAAUUCAUAAGAUUUUAUUCAUUUUGGGUGAAAUUUGAUGUUUUAGUUGGUGGUUUUGAAUUAAAAAAGGGUUCAAAUAAUUCCAAACAAUUACUAAGUAGAAAAUUGGGAUUUGAGGUGUUUGGUAGCAGAAUCCCUUUUGAAUCAUCUUAAACAGGGGACUUAAUGGGCUUGGAAAAAACAACUCUUGGGACCAAAAUUCACGAAGUCUAAACCUAUUGUAAUUAAUUCUAUUUUAAAAUAUUCUUUGCUAAAGAAUUAUCAGACCCUGGCACAAGAUUAUUUGUGAAAAAAAUAGCAUGUUUCCAGGUUUCAAAUUCUUGUAUAAAAUAACAAACAAAGAGUGCAAAUGUAUGAAUGACCUACCCAAGUCAGUAAAUAACUCAUUAUAAGCUUACAUCCGACAAAAAUACCAGGAAUGAGAUCAUUGCAUAUAGUAGUCAGCGCAUCCUCGACAGUCAAUUCAUCUAUUCUUUCUUUAAAUUUUCCUGCCCUAAUUUCCUUUUACUUUUUAAUCCCCUUUUUCACUUCUACCCAAAAAUAAUCAAAUGGACAUAUGUGAACAAAUUUUUAACACAUGACCAGGAUAGAUGCCAAUGCCAAAUAAACCAAAAAUCAGAUUUAACAUAGAUCACCUGGCUUGUACAAGCAACAAAAUUGCUACUCAAGUUCCAAGGAGUAAUCUGAAGUUCCCUCUCAAUGUGUGAUGCAGCAGCCAAUGCUAUUGCUUCAUCAGGAAGCCGGCUCAUUGCAGAUGAAAUAUUUGUAGGGUGUGUUUCAGUUAUUCCUAAAUGUCUUAGCCGGUAGAGGCCUGCUUGCAUGCUUUCAUAGGCACAAACCUAAAACAAUUUAAAAUAAAUACAAGACAGAAAGAAUCUUAUCAAAUGAAACAAUAUAACAGGAUACAUCUUACAACAAAGAAACAAUAACGCAAAAGCACCCAAAUUUGGAACAAAGAUUGAAACGCAGUUAAUUCACUUUAUCCCAAGCUAAGCAACAUGUAAAUUAUAGACCACCAAAUCAUAAAAGCAAUACAAGGUAAGCAUAAAUAACCACAUUGAGCACCCAAUAAAAUGCAUUGUUAUUUAAUGAAGCCUCAUUUUUCAACAACCCAAAAGCACAGUAUAAAUAAAAAUAAAACAGGCUGCAAUCCUUUUUUAUUCUUAAUAGUAUGUUUCAACAGAAAGACAUGUCUAAAUUAUAAAUAAAAAAAAUGAAUGUCAUAUGACAACUCACAAGCUCUGGCGGAACCAUUUUUCUCAGUUCAUCCUCCGACCACAUGCGGAAAUUUCUCUUUUUGACCAAAAUUGACUGUCCAUUUGCUCCCCUCUGCAGUAAUAGAUAAUAUUCAGGAAUACAGAAAAACAUAUUAAAAAUACACAAAAUUAAGAUUGUAAUUCCAAUAUAAAACUAUUUUCCAGAAAUUAUGAUUUUUCUCGUUUUUUGAAAAUAUAAGGGUUAGUUUUGUUGGAGAAAAUAUUUCCUUUUAUUUUUCAUUUCCUAUUUUCAUAAAUAAUUAAAAAAAAAAUCACUGUGUUUUAAAAAAUUUGUACAGGGUAACAAUGAAAAGAAUUGCUAUUUUAUUGUUUCUAUACAAAUCUUUGAAAACAGAAAAGACAGAGAAAACAAUAUCACUUUUGUAAUUCUCUGUGAAAACAAGAAAUGAAACAGAACACAUUGUCAUAAACCAAACAAGCCCUAAGGAAUGCUGUUAAGCAUUCAUGUAAAUUUGCUUGGAGGAUCCAUUUCCUAUAAAUUGCUUGGAGAAUAGCAAGCUUUGUGACACUCUUAUACCUGUAAAUUUGCAUACUCCUUGAUUUUCUUACGGAGUGAUGCUUCUGAUUGGUAAGGAAACUGUGAGAGAAAUUCAUCGACACGGAUAUAAGGAGGCAAGUGCCGCUUCUCAGCUGCUUGGAAUUCACGGCACAUGUGUACCAAUAGCCUGUUCAUCAUGUAAGUCUGAAGAUUUUUACUUCCCGGUGAAAAUACCUCCAUGAGUGGCUCCUGCAAAGAGUAAGUUAGAAACAAAUUAGCACAAAUCACAAAUAUAAAUUGUACUUUUUAUAAUAUUCUCAGAGACAGCUUUGGAAUUUGUUAGGCAAAUUGCAGUAUCAAACAAGGAGAAGUUAAUCAAAUACGGCAUUAUGAGUGUGACUGCUCAAAACAUCACAUUUACCAAAUGGAAAGUCAGAUUCUAAAUCAUUAAAAGACAGUUAAAAAAAAGCACAAAACAACAAUCUACAAACCUGCUGUCCGACGACAUUAAUUUUAUCAAUGCGCCUUAAUGAUAACUUUCCCUUGGAUGAGCGAACCAGCAGGUAGUCAGUUAGUGGAACUUUAUGAGGAAAUACGGGUGCUCUAUACAUAUUUGUCUCUAGUGAUGACUGACAGCAACCAGGUUUCAAAUCUCCAAGGAAAGGAGAUUUAUCAGCAGGAUCCAGAGAAAUAAUGUGCCCCAAGCUACUAUCUGUGUUGCGUAAUAAAGAGCCAGAUUGGUCAUCCGGUGAGCAUUUUUGAUAGUAUGUACAAAGUCUUGCACCCAUUCCAACAUUGCUCAAAAGUAAAGGUCUUUCUUCACAAUACCUACAAAAAGAACAUAUUCAAUGCCAUUAGAAACAUAGAAACUUCAGAGAAAACGCAUGAAAGAGAGAAUUUAUUAGUGUAUUGAUCAAGGAGUACAAACUGGAAUUUAAAACUGUGUACAUUUAGUUACAAAAACAGUUAGUGACAGUUGGCAUUAGUAACCUACCAGCCAACUAACAUCGUACAAAAAACAAUGUCAACAACUAACUACCAACAGUGCAGUUUAAAACUGAAAUGUAAAAUACACUAAAUAAAAAUGAAAUUCCCAGAAUCCUAAUGGGGUAUCCUCAAUCCUCAUUCAUUUAGCUAAGUCCAAAAGAGAUACAAUGUAAAAAGAGGAUCCCCAUUGCAGGCAACAAAUUAAAAAGAAAAAUUAAAGUCAACUACUAAAGCCACAUUUUUCUUAAUAUAAUAGAGUUGAAGUCAUUAGAACAUGCUUGAUAUGCAAAAAUAAAUUGCAAUAAUUUCUGUUUUCAGAUGAGUAUUAACUAAUGCGCAAAAAUGUUCGGAAGGCAGAAACUGAAUAUGAGUAGAAUUUUAUUAUCUAAGGAUUCCCUGUCUACAUCUGAGCCAAUGCCCAAUACAAAAAAUGCUAACAAAAUUAAUGAAUACUUCUACCCUUCUUUCCCUAUUUAUAUAAUCAUAUAUAGUUUCUCUUAUAUCUAACACCAUGGUACCAUCCCAGUCUUACCUAAAUUUCAAUCAACGAAGAAAUAUAAACAUAUGGAAUUCCAUAACAAGCAAGUUGAAGGGCUGUUCAAUAAGAAAAAAGAUACUUCCAAAAUUUAGUCACCCAAAGUCAACAGUCCAGAACUUUAAAAUAAAUCCAAAUGGAAACGGAUAAUAUGUGAAAACAAACACUGAGUAGUUUCAACUAUCAGGCACAGAAAAGUUUUUCUAGCUUACUGCUUUUGAAGAAUUUAAGAUACAAAGGAUGUUAUUACUUAUUAACCAAAACAGAUCUGUAGCUCAGAAAGUAGUAACUUGUUAUUCUCAAUCUUCAAAAUGAAACUUUUCUCACAGCAAGUGAAUAAUAAAUAUUAUCAUGUACCAUCCUCCUUCUAGUCUUCAACACUUAAGUAUCACCAUUCCUGAAUUACACUCACGUCUCUUAUGCACAAGGUUGUGGAGGCUCCCAUAAUGGAACUUCUUGUGUUGGUGCUACUGGUUCUGGUAGAGGUCGUGGUGGCAAGUUUGCCAAUUUUCAGUGUCAGAUUUGUCUUAAGUUUGGUCAUACCGCCAAUGUUUACCAUUUCAGGUAUGAUGUUUCGUAUCAACCCCGUCAAUCACGAUGUUUUAUUGAUCCAGCCACAGAAAUAUAUUCCUUAAUCGGCUGGCUCAUAUAAGCCAUCAAAUACAUGGAUAAAUCCUAAUAACAACUAUGGACAUAACACUCAACCUAGCAUAUUACUGAUGAAGUCCACCUCUCAAGCAAAAAUUAACAUCCUAGAUACCAGACUAUGGAGCAAGUUUCCAUGUUACUGGUGAAUCUCAGAAGGUAAAGCAGCUUCAACAUUUUGAUAAUCCUGACCAGAUUUUCUUAGGAGUAUUUGUGGUGUUGGUGUCUCUUCAUUUGUCUCAUCUAAUGAUUCACAUGUCAUUCUAAAACUAAACAAUUUGUUGCAUGUUCGUUCUAUCACCAAAAAUUUGUUAAGUGUUAGUCAAUUUGCCAAAGAUAAUUAUGCUUUCUUUGAGUUUCAUCCUGACAAGUGUCUUGAUAAAUCUCAGGGGAUGGAUAAAGUUCUUCUUCAAGGUGUUGUUGGUAUUGAUGGGCUUUAUCCAUUCAAUAAUCUCCAGUUUCACCCACCCUCAAUUGCAGUCAUCUCAAUUGUAGUCAUCUUCCAAGUGUUUCACUCAGGUAAAUAACAAUAUUCAUGUGUGGCACAAUAAACUUGGUCAUUCAAAUAGUCAUGUUAUGCAAAUUGUAUUGAAACAUUGUAAAAUUUCUUUGUCCAAUAAAGCUAAUUCUUACUUUUGCUCAUCCUAUUGUGUUGGUAAAUCACAUAACUUGUCAUCUCAUGCAUCCAAAUUUGUUUAUUCUACCUUAGAGCUUGUUUACCGAUCUUUGGGGACUUGCUCAUUUUACCUCUUAUGCAGGGUACAAAUAUUAUGUUUCCUUUGUUGAUGCUUGUUCUAGAUAUACUUGGAUAAUUCCAAUAAAGUCUAAGGGUGACACGUCUGUUUUUCAGAAUUUAAAAAAGCUGGUUGAGUUACAGCUUGGUUUCAAAAUUAAAAACAUCCCAUCUGAUUGAGGUGGAGAAUAUAGACCUUUUACAAGUCUCUUAAUUAACUCAUUGUGGUAUAAAUCAUAGACUUGUUUGUCCUCAUACACAUAAUCAAAAUGGUGUUGUUGAAAGGAAACACAGACAUAUUAUUGAUUUAGGUCUUACCUUGCUGCCCAAAGGAUCUCUUCCAUUACAAUUUUGGAAUUAUACCUUUAUUAUAGUUUUGUAUCUUAUUAAUUGACUUCCUACAGCUUCUUAAAUUUUGUUAUUCCUUAUUAUGUUCUUUUUAAUAAAGAUCCAGACUUUGCUUUUAUCAAAAAAAUUGGAUGUGCUUCUUUUCCUCUUUUAAAACCUUAUCAUUCUCAUAAACUUGAUUUUAAAUCUAGGGAGUGUAUUUUCCUAGGAUAUUCUCAAAUACACAAAGGUUACAAUCCAGUAAAAGAGUUUACAUUUCAAAGGAUGUUCGAUUUAAUGAACAUGAAUUUCCUUAUUCUCAUUUUUCUCCUAAUACUCCCAAUACUGUCAAAGAUCUCAAUGAGUAUUUUAAUUUAAAUCCCAUUCUUCCACUACCUCAAACAUCUAACACUACUUCAUUUUGUUAUGUGCUUAUUAAUUCCACAAAACGGUCCUCUUAGUCUAUGUCUAAUACUGCACCUGUUGUAACUACUGAACUUGUAUAUAAUACAGCAACCCCUGUUAUAAAAACUAGGUCCAAAUAUACACAGAAUUCACGUUAAUUCAACAGAAUAAUCCUCAUCUGAGUCUAUGUCUAAUAUUUCACCUGUCAUAAUUACUGGACUUGUACAUAAUACAGCACCUCCUGUUAAUACUUACCCUAUGCAAACUAGGUCCAAAUUUGGUAUUGUUCAACACAAAAUUCUCCCUUCACUGCUUCUUCCAAGUGUUAAGCAAGCUCUUAAAGAUGCUAAUUGGUUAGCUGCAAUGCAGCAGGAGUAUGAUGCUCUCAUGCAGCAAAUACAUGGGAUUUAGUUACAUUACCCUCUAACAGACAAGCUGCUGGAUGUAAAUGGUUUUUCGAGUCAAGGAAAAUGCAUAUGGAUCCAUUUAUAAAUAUAAAGCACAACUAGUGGAAAAGGAUUUCAUCAAGUCCACAGUUUUGAUUUUCAUGAGACUUUUUCUACACUUCACAAAAAUAUACGCAUAAAAAAUAAGAAACGUAGUACAUUGAAUAUGAAUAUGAAAGCUUGCAAAUACAUAGAAUAUAUCAACUAUAUCAAUAUAUAUAUGUAUGUAUAUUAAUAUAUCUAAGUUAAUAUUAAUUCAGUGCUUCAUUUUCUUUUAUCUCUCCUUGUGUAAUAGCAGGAUAAAAAUUUCAAGUCACUUACUCCAUCAGAAAAACAUGUCCAUCUUUUACAGACAUAUCAGACUUUUUCUUGAAUGCCCCAGGAGGACGCAAGGACUUGUUCUCACCAGGAACCCUCUGUGCUUUUGGCCACAAAUGUAUCUUUGAACGAACAAGAUGUAGCAAGGAAUUUGGUCGAACAUUUUGUUCAGCAAGUGACUUCUGAUCGUCAAGCUCUCUUCCUAAAUAAAACAUUUUCACUGUUUCCAAUGCCUUAAAAUCUAUAAAAAACUUCAGAUCAGUCAUACAGAAGAGUAGAAAGUACACUGAAAUCUAGAAUAAAUUUGCAGCCUAAUUAUGAUUUUAAAUCCAUUACAGAAAUAAGAAAUUUUAUUAUAGAAGGAAAAAUUCACAACCUAGCUUUUUGGAAGCUUUUGCUUUAACAGUUGAGAGAGUUUCUUCAGAAUCCACAUGCAAUUUACUCCCCUUUCCACCCAAACUCUUUAUAAUGAUCUUCAUGGGUCCUUGUGUUGGCAAUUUCCCUUGUUCUUUGACAGCCACCUCAUUGUCAUGGGGAUACCAUAAUGCUUUUGGCCGGUGAAAAUUUGCAAUAUCUUUACUGCAAAAGAGUUGGUAAGAUUAUAAUGACAAAAUCUACAAUGCACAUGUAGACAAUAGAUAUUAAAGCACCAUAUAAAUUAAAGGACAGACAUGAUGACUCACUUAUACACAAAUAAACAAAGGUUUUGCAAGAACUUGAUAAAAAACAUAAGAAAUCUCACAAUUGUUAUGGGCAACUAAUAGGUCAACAAAUGGACUAGUCUAAUGGUGACUGGUUAUGAGCUAAUAUAGAAACAGUGAGCUAGGUUCAAACUUUAAAUGCUAUGGGCCAUUCUUUAACAAAAGCAUCGAUGUCUAGGCCUGCUGAUAAAAAAAAUGUCAAGGUCUAUUCUUGUUUUGCAAUAUCAUUUCUGAAGCACAGGUCAAGAUAUAAAGAAUCAAUCUUUCUAUCUGCCACAAACUGUAACUGGUCGAGAUCAUCUUAAGCUCUAUGAUACAGAGAUUUCUCCAGCAAUUUUGCUUCCAUAAAGGUUUGACCAUAGAUGAGGAGUUGAGUUGAUGGACAGAAAAUAAGUUAUGGAGUAAAAUGAUAAGAGUGCAUGUAUGUAGCAUUUUAGGGUGGAGAAUGAGACAAGUUCUGUUAAGUAUACACAGAGAGGGAUUUACUUGCAUGAAUUGUUCAGGGAAAAAAGAACUGAACUGCAAACUUGCAUUUAUAUUAAGUGUAUCGGUGUGUGAAAUCAGAUCCAUUUAAUUGGUAUAGUAUGAAAAAAUCAUAAACAACGAGAAACCAACAAGAUAAUGAAUCUAGUAACUUGCACGAAUCACGGACUCUAUCCAUUUAAGUGUACAACAAAAGUUCACCUACACUGAGACAGAUAAACAAUCAUUUUUUCCAAAAGAACCUGGUUUGAGAAAAACUCUGGACUGAAGUUAUAUUAUUCAAGAAUAGUGCACAGAGGCAAGAAAAAUAGAAAACCCAAAAAUAUUUGGAGAUAUGAUGCUCUCACCAUAUUGGGUAUCUAGUAGCCUAAUCAUCAAACAAACUUGAAUGUAAGAUUGUACCAGAAGUUCAUCUUAAAAAACACAAUAUUCUGAGCCAAAAAUGUCUCAAAACAGGUAAGGCAUGCUACAGACAAAAAAUGCUACCUCCUCCAAACAAAUAAAAUCUUACUUGCUCAACUUCAAUUUCAUUGUCUGCAGCUUCAGAGCAGGUUGAGAGUGGAAAACUUUGACACCAUGAGCUGAGCGUUUUUUGGAAUUUGAUUUCAAUUGCUGAGAAGUUUUACGAUUUGAAUAAUGUUUGUCAUUAGAAACAUAUCGCCAUCCAUAUUGACUUCCAUGUCCUGGAAGUUCAGAAGAGUCCCCACUGCUUGAUUUUAAAGAUCGAGUUAAAAUUAUAGCCCCAGCAUGAAGGCAAAGAUGCGCCCCAUCCUUGCUAUCCAAAACUUCAAAGUGCAUUUGAUCAUCCUGAAGAUCAAAGAUAAGCUUUGGUUUCACCAUAGGCUGAUCAAGCUCCUCCCAUAUUAUCUCGUCUAACCAGGAACCCUCCAUCAUGUCUCUGUUUUGUGAUAUAGCCUUGUUAAAACGCGUAAUUUGACUACUUUGAUUAUGCUUACAUAUUUCCCCCUCUUUUCCAUCUGCAAGACUAGAACUAUCCACUUCAGAUCUGGAUUCUAACCUUAAAAGUUGGGGGUGAAAUAGACUUCUAGAUAUUAGAUUGGUUUUAGCUCCAGAAGAACCCCUUGAGCCAAAGGCCUCCAACGAGACAGGAGAGCUGAGCGAGACAUUAUGAUCUUUAUCUUCCAGUAUCUUGUAAGGCUCUAUCUGAAUAGUCUGGAUCCCACUUUCAAUUUCUAUUUCACUGCCACCAGAAACUCCCAACUCAGGUCCAGAAACUUCACAGCUUUCAAUAUUAUUAUUACUUGGAACAGGAGAAUUGCCCCAAAUGAUUUCAUCUUCCCAGUCUUGCUGAUCAAGAGGAUAAAAGUUGGUCCAUAUGAAAGGAUGAUCUUUCCAUGAAAGGUCUUCUUCAAAAUCCCCUUUCAUUGGUUCAGCACUAUGACACGAGUCCUUUGAUUGAUGAUCAUCUUUCCUGACCACUGAGGGCUCCGCAUGAAGAAACCCAAAUUUUGGAAACUCCAAGUCAACAUCGUUGCUUUCUAAUACAUCAUUAUGAACUACAGAAACUUGUUUAGUAUGUGAGAGACUCUGGGAGGAGCCCUUGAGGAAUUCCUCUUCAUCCUCUUCUACAAAAUCAUCAGUAAAAUCCAAAGACUUGUAUCUAUCUGUAAACACGAUAGGUAAAAGGCCAAUUAGAAUAGAAGCCCCACAGACUAACACUGCAGAAAGAUAAGCAUUCAUUGUGUCAUUCAAAUCUCACCAUUGGCAGCCCUAAAUUUCACUCACAUACUCUACAAAUUGUGCAACAACAAUUUUAAUUUUUCUAAUCAUAUCUCUCCUAGAAGAUUAAUAGACUGACACAUCAAAAUAAAAUUCAGGUAAACAUUUCCAAUCUCCAAUUACCCCUUGGAAUAGGUUGCCGAUGUUCUCUCUUUUCUCCCUUUCUGAGAGGUUCAUGAAUGCCAAAGAUUUCAGAGAAGCGUAAAAUUGCCACACCAUCUUCCACACAUAAAACAGGCAAUGGCACAGCCGUAGACCUUUUCUGAACUUCAGGCCCUUCCUGUUUGUUUCAUCAAUUAAGACAUUAAUAUGUCAAUAGAAAGUCAAACAUAAUCUUUUAUAAUCCUAUCAACAAUAAUUAUCAUCAAUGUUGGAAAAAAAUUUGUUAGUGUAAGCAUUACUAAUUGGCUGGGCUUAUAGCACGGUACUAAAAGCGGUAUACAUCACAGUUAGUUGGAAAAAAAUAUGUCAGUGUAAGCAUUACUAAUUGGUUGGGCUUAUAGCAGGGUACUAAACGCGGUAUACUUCACAGUUAAUAGUAAAUGGGCUCAAGUUGAUGCUUACAUUUCAGAGAAAUCUUUUUACUCUUCUCCACCCCACUUUAGCCAUUUACAAUUAAUUAAGCACCAAACUGAAAUGCCAUCCUAUUUGCAUGUUUCUAAAAUGCAUCAAGUAGUAAAUACGCCAGUAAAACCACCAUUCAAAACAAGGUCGAGAGUUAUGUGCAAGUAUGCAUAUCUCUGCUUGUCCCACGUCACCACUACUACAACCAACUUUUCCCACUAGGCAGGGUCGAAUACAAGGACCAAACAGCACCACAAUGUCCCCAAGAUCAUUUUAGGUUUGAAUUUGCAGUCCCUUUGGAUUAUAUUAUUUGGUAUUCAAAACAACUUAUUAUUUAACUUUACAGAUUAAUAUUUUCAUAUUUCUUUUUGGGGUGGGGGUGAGCGUGAGGGGUUGAGGUCACUAUGGGGGAGAUAUGUUUCCCUAAAAUUAAUCAAAACCCAAAGGGGACAAAAUUAUGAAGAAUGGGGAUCAUAGGGUGACAUUGUCUAAGGAUUGAAUUCCUCAGCAUGUGCUCAUGGGCUCAAGCCACACGACUCUAUAUAUACACACACACACACACAAU
rnacentral:lncRNA from 1 species